GUUCAUGGGGAGAGUAUUAGGAUGGAGCAAGGAGUGUUUGUCUACAAGUUUCCCGACCAGAUCAACGUCCGGAGUCUCCUCCACCUCAUCAGAUACUCCGGAGCGACUGGCACUCACCACCACCAUUUUGAACGUUCCCUAUCAGACCUCUGAUUCAGAUUUCCCGGACUUAUCCAGGGUUCCGAGUGGCCGACUCCUACUAGUCGUAAGCUGGUUCAGCGUUUCCUGGGGUUUUCAAACUUCUACAGACGUUUCAUCAAAGAUUAUAGCUCUGUUGCCGCACCUCUGCAUGCCCUAACCUCUCCUUCAGUGAGAUUCCUAUGGAAUUCCAAGGCAGAGAAGGCUUUCCAGGGACUCAAGACCAGCUUUACCUCCGCACCCAUUCUCACGCUUCCGGAUCCUCAGCGGUAGUUUGUGAUGGAUGCCUCGGAUGUGGGACUCGGGGCAGUUUUCUCUCUCAACGGUCCAAGAAGGACAACAAGCUUCAUCCCUGUGCCUUCCUGUCCCGUGAAUUAUCACCAGCAGAGAGAAAUAAUGACGUCGGCAAAAGAGAACUACUGGCUAUCAAGGUGGCCUUGGAGGAGUGGUGGCACUGGUUGGAAGCAACAGAACAUCCGUUCAUCAUCUAUGGAGAGGGCCGUCAAGGAGUAUGUGGCUGCAUGUCCAGUGUGUGCUCGUAAUAAGACGUCCCAUCGUCCUCCUUCUGGUUUCCUGCGUCCUCUCUCUGUGCCACACCGUCCCUGGGUGGAGAUUUUAUUGGAUUUCGUUACCGGGCUACCCACGUCUCAAGUGCACUUAUGGAUACCAGCCACCGUUGUUUCCUGACCUAGAGACCAACGUUCUGUCUGCCCAGGCUCUUAUCCACCGCUGUCGCCGGAUGUGAAGUCAGGCUCGGCAGGUUCUCCUCAGUUCCUCAAUCCCUCAUUGCCAGUUCAUCUUUGUACCUCCGUGUCAUUGAGUUCCAGCUUUGCUCUUUUGUGCUUCCUGUUCCUGUUUCCCUUUGUCGACUUCCUCGUAAUACCUGACCCUGCUUCUGUGACCUGAUUCUCCUCUUGCCUAUUCCCUGUCGGACUUGUUUGCCACGCUGACUGUCUACCCGUGUACCAAACCAGUUUUUUGCUUCUAGUAAAGACUUUUACCUACAUCAUGAGCUGCCUCUGGAUUGUGCAUGUGUGUCCUUCUUCCUGUGUUCAGAUUGUUACAGGCACGUACUGGUAAAAUGGACAGGCCCCUGUAAAUGGGAUCAUCUGGUCAUCAAUUGACACACAUUUCGGUCGAGCCUGAAGCAAGCAGCCUUUGAGAAUUCGAUCCAUGAAAGGCCUCGUCUUUCAGAAACUGUCAGUUUUCCUCGUGUCUUCUGAAAUGUCAUUAUCAAUGACUACUUUUAGAUUUUUCCUCAGUUUGAAGAAUCUGUCACGCCUGAUUUUGUCACUAAUGGCAGGGAUUCGUAAGGUAUUGGACCAGAACAUCCUUAUUUGUGGUUAAGACAUGCAAGUCAUCAAUAUUAAUGCUCCAAAAAAAUGAUAAAGCUCAUCAACUGAAGUGUUGAGAGAGCUACCACUGUUAGCUAGUGACAUAGCAUUUGUGCAGUUAGCGAUGAGUUGCAUCAACUAUGUGUUAAUGUACUGCUCCAAAUAGUCCAGCAGCUGCCAAUCUUCUCGUUCAUGCAGCCUUUCAACUUCAGCCUCAAACUGAACUAAGUCUGGAGUAAAUGGAGCAGACUUCCAGUGCUUUGCACGUUCAUCUUCACUAGGUCCACGCUGACGUUUAGACACACCUCCCCUGGAUCUUUGCAUAUAUGUAGAUGCAUGUGGCUCACUGUCACUAUCAUCACUGCUUUGCUGAUCAGAUUCUGGUGAAUCAGGUGGUAGAAUAUAAUCGGCAUCCACAACAGGAUCGUUGGCAUCGGACAAAUCCUCCACCUCAGAAUUGUCUCCAGCAAUCUUUCUGUCCUUGACAGAGAAAUUUGCCCUGGAAAUGCAUCACAAAAAAUUCAAAUCCAAGUAGAAUAAUUUGUACCACAUGCCAGAACAACAUGCAUGAAUGAUAAUGAAGUCCCAAUGUCCUCAAAUGAGUAGGCUACUUCCUGAUUAGCAGUGUCCUAGCUUGUUGCUAUUGCUAAAAACUGGUCAAAUGUGUAUGUCAUAUCAAACUACAAACGUUAAGCAUAAAUAAACACGUUUCAAC
ensembl:lncRNA